GCCAACAGUGGAUACAGACUCUUGAUAUAAUCCUAAUUCGAUCAGACUAUGUUAGCUCAAGAGUCCCAAUCAACUAAGACUCUUCCUAAUUAAUUCUUAAAUUAAACUCUUUUAAUUUUGAUGAGUCCAUAAGUCAAGAUUGACAUCUAGCAAUAUAUCAGGACUACUCAAAAGAUUUAAAAUUUUGAUAAAAAAUAUUAAAAUAUUUUUUAGUGGUAAGUUAUCG
rnacentral:lncRNA from 1 species